AGAGUUUGAUCCUGGCUCAGAACGUACGCUGGCGGCACGCCUAACACAUGCAAGUCGAACGAAGUAGCAAUACUUAGUGGCAGACGGGUGAGUAACAUGUGGGUAUCUGCCCUUUGGCCUGGAAUAACACGAGGAAACUUGUGCUAAUACUGGAUAAGUCUUUACGGAGAAAGCUUUAUGCACCAUUGGAUGAGCCCGCACUUGAUUAGUUUGUUGGUGGGGUAAUGGCCUACCAAGACUGUGAUCAAUAGCUGAUUUGAGAGGAUGAUCAGCCACAUUGGGACUGAGACACGGCCCAAACUCCUACGGGAGGCAGCAGUGGGGAAUCUUGCACAAUGGAGGAAACUCUGAUGCAGCGAUGCCGCGUGAGUGAAGAAGGCCCUUGGGUUGUAAAGCUCUUUCGUCGGGGAAGAAAAUGACUGUACCCGAAUAAGAAGGUCCGGCUAACUUCGUGCCAGCAGCCGCGGUAAUACGAAGGGACCUAGCGUAGUUCGGAAUUACUGGGCUUAAAGAGUUCGUAGGUGGUUGAAAAAGUUGGUGGUGAAAUCCCAGAGCUUAACUCUGGAACUGCCAUCAAAACUUUUCAGCUAGAGUUGAUAGAGGAAAGCAGAAUUUCUAGUGUAGAGGUGAAAUUCGUAGAUAUUAGAAAGAAUACCAAUUGCGAAGGCAGCUUUCUGGAUCAUUACUGACACUGAGGAACGAAAGCAUGGGUAGCGAAGAGGAUUAGAUACCCUCGUAGUCCAUGCCGUAAACGAUGUGUGUUAGACGUUGGAAAUUUAUUUUCAGUGUCGCAGCGAAAGCGAUAAACACACCGCCUGGGGAGUACGACCGCAAGGUUAAAACUCAAAUGAAUUGACGGGGACCCGCACAAGUAGUGGAGCAUGUGGUUUAAUUCGAAGAUACGCGCAGAACCUUACCAACACUUGACAUGUUCGUCGCGACUUUAAGAGAUUAAAGUUUUCGGUUCGGCCGGACGAAACACAGGUGCUGCAUGGCUGUCGUCAGCUCGUGUCGUGAGAUGUUGGGUUAAGUCCCGCAACGAGCGCAACCCUCACUUUUAGUUGCCAUCAUUUAGUUGGGCACUCUGAAAGAACUGCCAGUGAUAAGCUGGAGGAAGGUGGGGAUGACGUCAAGUCCUCAUGGCCCUUACGUGUUGGGCUACACACGUGCUACAAUGGUAUCUACAACAGGAAGCGAAACAGCGAUGUUAAGCAAAUCCUUAAAAGAUACCUCAGUUCGGAUUGCACUCUGCAACUCGAGUGCAUGAAGCUGGAAUUACUAGUAAUCGUGGAUCAGCGUGCCACGGUGAAUGCGUUCCCGGGUCUUGUACACACCGCCCGUCACACCAUGGGAGUUGGUUCUACCUUAAGGCAAGGUUUAAUACCCUUGACCACGGUAUAGUCAGCGACUGGGGUGAAGUCGUAACAAGGUAGCCGUA
rnacentral:rRNA from 1 species